UUUUUGUGCUGGAAAAGACUUAAUUGAAGUAGGAAAGACGGUUAGUAAGUUGUCGAGCCUUGAUUUAAAAGGCAUGCUUGAUUAUGGUGUGGAACAUGCAAUGGAUAAUGAGUCUUGUGAUCGAAGUAUGAAUGUUUUUCUUCAGACAGCCGAAUUAACCAAGUCUCUUCCAUCCUCAUCUGUCAGUUUUGUGGUAGUAAAAAUAACUGCAAUUUGUACACCAAAGUUGCUCAAAAGAAUGAGUGAUUUACUGAGAUGGGAACAGAAGGAUCCUUCAUUCAAUCUUCCAUGGAAGCAAAAGACGCUUCCACUUUUCGCCGAAUCGAGUCCUUUUUAUCACACGUUGAAAAGACCAGAACCUCUAACAAUUGAAGAAGAGCGUGAUCUACAAUUAGGUCGUGAUAGACUUGAGAAAAUUUGCAAGAAAUGCCUGGAACUUGAUGUUGAGUUACUCAUUGAUGCUGAAGAUACAGCUAUUCAACCAGCGAUUGAUUACUUAGCAUAUUCAGCGGCAAUUAAGUAUCACAAAGAGGAUCAUCCUUUGUUAUUUGGAACAAUUCAAGCUUACUUAAAAGACUCAAAAGAACGUAUGAUAAUCGCUAAAAAGGCAGCAGAGAAAAUGGGAGUUCCAAUG
rnacentral:misc_RNA from 1 species